rnacentral:rRNA from 1 species
AGAGCGAACGCUGGCGGCAGGCCUAACACAUGCAAGUCGAGCGCCCGUAGCAAUACGGGAGCGGCAGACGGGAUAGUAACACGUGGGAACGCGCCCUUCGGUUCGGAAUAACUCAGGGAAACUUGAGCUAAUACCGGAUACGCCCUUACGGGGAAAGAUUUAUUGCCGAAGGAACGGCCCGCGUCCGAUUAGCUAGUUGGUGAGGUAAUGGCUCACCAAGGCGACGAUCGGUAGCUGGUCUGAGAGGAUGACCAGCAUCACUGGGACUGAGACACGGCCCAGACUCCUACGGGAGGCAGCAGUGGGGAAUAUGGACAAUGGGCGCAAGCCUGAUCCAGCCAUGCCGCGUGGAUGAUGAAGGCCUUAGGGUUGUAAGUCCGUUUAACGGGAAGAUAAUGACGGUACCGUAGAAUAGCUCCGGCUAACUUCGCGCCAGCAGCCGC